rnacentral:rRNA from 1 species
CCUACGGGAGGCAGCAGUGGGGAAUAUUGGGCAAUGGGCGAAAGCCUGACCCAGCAACGCCGCGUGAAGGAAGAAGGCUUUCGGGUUGUAAACUUCUUUUAUCAGGAACGAAGCAAGUGACGGUACCUGAUGAAUAAGCAACGGCUAACUACGUGCCAGCAGCCGCGGUAAUACGUAGGUGGCAAGCGUUAUCCGGAUUUACUGGGUGUAAAGGGAGUGUAGGCGGGAGGGCAAGUCAGAUGUGAAAACUAGUGGCUCAACCCAUAGCCUGCAUUUGAAACUGUCCUUCUUGAGUGCUGGAGAGGCAAUCGGAAUUCCGUGUGUAGCGGUGAAAUGCGUAGAUAUUAGGAGGAACACCAGUGGCGAAGGCGGCUUACUGGACUGUAACUGACGUUGAGGCUCGAAAGCGUGGGGAGCAAACAGGAUUAGAUACCCCAGUAGUC